rnacentral:rRNA from 1 species
CCUACGGGUGGCAGCAGUGAGGAAUAUUGGUCAAUGGACGAGAGUCUGAACCAGCCAAGUAGCGUGAAGGAUGACUGCCCUAUGGGUUGUAAACUUCUUUUAUAUGGGAAUAAAACGUUCCACGUGUGGGAUUUUGUAUGUACCAUAUGAAUAAGGAUCGGCUAACUCCGUGCCAGCAGCCGCGGUAAUACGGAGGAUCCGAGCGUUAUCCGGAUUUAUUGGGUUUAAAGGGAGCGUAGGUGGAUUGUUAAGUCAGUUGUGAAAGUUUGCGGCUCAACCGUAAAAUUGCAGUUGAAACUGGCAGUCUUGAGUACAGUAGAGGUGGGCGGAAUUCGUGGUGUAGCGGUGAAAUGCUUAGAUAUCACGAAGAACUCCGAUUGCGAAGGCAGUUCACUGUACUGCAACUGACACUGAGGCUCGAAAGUGUGGGUAUCAAACAGGAUUAGAUACCCUAGUAGUC